CCAACUCAGAAGCUAGGAUAUGCAUAUUAUUAACACAUUCGGAUAGAAAACACUCUGAAUUUUCUAAAACAGUUUGAAUGGUGUCUGUAAGUAUAACAAAACUCAUAUUGCAGGCAAAAACCUGUGAAAAAUAGAUCAAAAAAAAAUGUGAAUUUUGUGACUGUACUAUUUAGUGUCAUUGUUUUAUAGAUACCAUAGUGAGAAAGGAUUCAUUUCGCAACACCUACGGCUUCCACUAGAUGUCAACGAUCUUUAUAAAGUUGUUUGAAGCGUCUAUGAUAAACAGAGAGCAAAUUAGAAUCCAAGGAAGUUGACAUGUCAUCACUUCAUUUUUUUGCGCCUGCGCAUAAAUCUGAGAAACGUGAGUUUGUCAUCAUUUUUUAUCUAGACAUAGGAUAGGUUGUGUGAAAAUAUUACUGAUGUUUAACGUUAAAAAUGGAGCAAAAGAUUAAUGCUAAACAACAUUUGACAUGUUUGAACGAACAUAAAUAGAUUAUUUACUAGGUUUUUUUUUAGCUUUUCGGCGUGAUUUUACCAGCCCCCAACCACGUUUUGUGGGAGCAUAAUGAACGCUAAGUACUUGGUGUUAUUUGGACAUAAAUUAUGAACUUUGUCAAAAGAAACCACAUUUGUUCCGGACCUGGGAUGCCUUCCGGACCUGGGAUGCCUGUCUUCUGAUGGAGAUAAUCAAAGGGGAUCCAAAAUUGGGAGCUCGGGGAAACCACACUCCAAAGGAGAAGCUGGACCCUCCUCAGAUCUGCAGGAAGCGGGCACGGAUGGAUAUCAGAUCUCGAACAUAGUGCUGAGAGAGGUGAGCUUGGACAAUCUAUCAAUAAGUGAUACAAAAAAAUAUAUAAAUAACAAAAGCCCCUGUCAAGGGUAUGCUCAGAGCAAGGUCUUCCUUAAGAGGGCCACAACUGAGGUAACUAGCAGGACUGAGUUGAGUUGAUAAGAGUGUUCUUAAGUGAGGUUUCCUUGGGCAUGAUUGAGAAUUAGCCUGUUGCGGGCAACCAAAAGUCCAGAUCCGUGGUACUGGGUUGAUCACAGUAGGACUGGUGAUGUUAAUGUGUAGAGCGAGAGACUAGAGCGCAGGUGACGCCUUACAAGGGCACCUGGCAUGGUGAAUUUCAAAUGAUAUGUAUGUAGUUGAUUAAAUGUUUUGUUGAUGAAGUAAACAAGUAUGCCCUGGGUCAGUAUUGUUAGUUGUUAUUGUUAUUCCUGGUUAGAUAAUAACCCGUUUUGGGACCACAAGUUAGGCAAUAUUUUGAUAAUGGUAUGGUUUUCCCUGCUCAUAUAGAGAGGGUUUACAAUCUAAAAACAGCGCUAACGAUUUAAUAAAAAAAUGUUUUUGACUGUCUCAUUCCCUAUGUUUGUGUUUUCUGUGAGUGUGUGAGUGAAGGAGCCGGAACCAUGGGAGCACACGGUAGCGAAGGACACGGAAUUCCAGAUCCCCCAAAGGAUGCCCUGAAGGUUAAGGUAGAUAAAUGGGGAAAUAAUAUUCUGGACCAGGUGCAAUUGUGGCAUAGGGAAGGAGGCUUUCUUUUGACAGGGACAGUGAGUGUGAGGAUGUUAGAUGAAGUCAGGGAAAGACUGACAGAGUACGAAGGGACCAAAAAAGGUAAAAAGGAUAAGAUAGAUUGGAUUAAGUUCAGAAAAUGGGAAAGAGGCAGAAAGGCGUACAGAGACAGGACCCAUUUCGAGGAAAGCCCCAACAGAAUAUGGUAGUACAGACUGAGGAAGAAGGGAAAACAGACAAAGAUGAGACCGUGAGAAAGAAGAGGAAGACGAUGAGUGAUUACCCCCCUCCCUAUUUUUCUCCUUCUAAUUUCUACCCAGUGCUGCCUGUGGCUGUCGACCUUCUUUCCCCCGCCUCUGCCUGAUGCCCUAGCUCUGCACUCCACUACGCCUCUUCACCCAACUCUGUUCCUCCCCUCUCGUAUGAAUCUCCCCUAGCAGCAGCGGUGGACCAACUGCUCUCUGAACUGGCCAUGCAUCAACUCCAAAACCAACCAGAAAAGGGUGCUGCUGGAGGAGCCAGAGCAGAAUGUAGGAAGAGCAACAACCUCUUCUCACAAUAACCACCUCUAGCCAGCCCGUUGGAGGAUGAUGACGACAACAGUGAUACAUCCUCUCAGAACGGAGCAUCAGCUCCCUACUCUCUUCCCCUCCGCUUAAGAGCCAUCUGCAAAGGAAGAUAGACCCGCCGACACCCUCACCAUAUGAUCUAGCACCAGAUAUGUAUCAACAGUACCCUCUGAUUGCAUGUCCAAACCCUCAGCCAUGACCAGCUGCAGGCCACACUGAUUUGGCUGCCUGGCAACCAAUCAUAUACCCAGAGGUCAUGGAGACAUGAUGAAAUUAAAGACAUUGUUGAGGAUUUGCCUGACCCCAGCAAAGAUGCGGUAAAGUUUGCAGCAGAAAUGAGGGUUCUGUCAGGACAGCACCAGCCAUCUGCAGCUGAGAUAGCCCAUAUCUGUAAGAAGAAACUAGGGCUUAGGUGGGCUGAUGUAGAAGGGGACUUUGAUUAUAAUCAGCUCUGGGAUGGGAAUGGAACUGUAUCCCGUCAAGACUGACUGGACAUCCAUCAGAGAAUGCACCAUCAAGAAAGAUGAGAGCCUGGAAGCGUAUUGAAGGAGACUGGAAACCUGUUUCAGGCUGCAAAGCGGCAUCAGACCAAAUUACCUGGCAUAUGGAAAUCUGUUGUAGGACGCCCUGAUGAGGGGCCUGACACCAGACUUGGAGAAAGCGGUGAGAACCACCUGUAUCAGUUGGGAAACUGAACCCCUGUCCACUGUGGUACAACAUUGCAAACAUGCUGAGCGACAACAAUGUGCUCAGAAGGAAGAAAAUACAAAAGAAGAAAGAGUGAAGACUGAAAUUGCAUUCUACCAAGACCAGGUGCCUGCUGGAGUGGGAGGUGGUGGAGGUGGAAGAAAACCCAAACUUGGAAGUUGCUUCACCUAUGGCAAGCCAGGCCAUUUCGGUGCACAAUGCAAUCAAGCCCAGCAGCUGAUGGGAAGAGGCAGGGGCAGACCAAGAGGCAGAGGAGCCCCAAGGGGGGCCCCUCGAGGAGGAGGUCCACCAGGAGGACAAGGAUUGUGGUAUCCCCCUGCUCAACAGCCAUGGCAGCCGCCACCCAACCAAUGGCCAGGGCCACCCCCACAUGGGGGCCCUCCGCCACCGUGGGGACCACAAGGGAGCCCUCAAGGCAGAGGCCAAUCUGGGCAAGGGCAGAUGGGCCCGCCUGCACAGACGACCCUGUACAAUCCAGGACAAGAAAAGGAGGAAGAAUAUUGACAUGGAGAGACAGACACAGAUGAGGUAGAAUCGUCAGGGCAACCAGUGCAUUUGUUUUUAAAGAGCCAUACCCUUCCUCGAAUUGAGCCAACAGUAGAGGCUUGCGUCAAUGGAGGAAUGAAGCAUUAUUUCAAUGAGCUGUAAAGGUACCAACACAUUUGAGCACGUCUGUAUGAUUCUGGGAGGAUGAAGGGAGCUGAGACACCAGGCACCCCUCCAGAGCACAAUAUCCACUCAGUAAAGAGGCCAUUGCAGGGUGAAAGCAGCUUUGCCUCAGCCCCUGGUGGGAAUCCUACAUAAGCUUCAACCUGGUGACUGGGUUGUGGUCAAGGACCUGAGGAGGAAGCAUUGGACCCAGCAGAAGUGGAAUGGCCCAUUCCAGGUGUUGCUGAUAAACCCCACCACUGUUCGAGUGGCUGAGAGAUCGACAUGAGUACACUCCAGCCACUGCAGGAAGGUCCCAUAUGAUCCAGUUUCAGAUGUCCCGGAGGAUGGGUUUCCGCCAGCCAUGACCUAGUUGGCCGUGGGAGAAUCAGGAUGAAGUCAGAGGAAUCCUGGUUGUUGCAUUCUUUGCCAGCCUCUUCAUCUCAAUGACUGUUUGAACCCUGCAGAGAGGGGAAUAGGCGAAAGGGGAGGAUGGCCCAAAUAUCACUGCAGUCCCAAAGCUGGGACUUAAUAACAGCCACUCCAGCUCAAGCCAAUGGCAGGCUCAGGACAUGAGUCCAGUAAACAAUAGCCACACUGAGACCAGAAGAAGCAGGAGCUCGAUGCAUCCACUGGAUGAGCAUCACAGCCAGAAUCAUGAGGAAAACACUUGGUGGUCACUGCUUAAUUAUACAGUAAAAACUGAACUAAUGGUAGAAAACACCUCCUGUCAUGUAUGUAGUCUUUUUCCACGCUCAGCGAUCUCAACAUUCUUACAGUAUUCAGUAGAGGCCAGCAUUAACGACACUCUAUGUGCACUGGAAGUCAUCUUAUCAAAUUAAACUUCAUGGGGUUAACCUUCACAGGGUAGAACUAUGAAGGAAAAAUGCAUUAAUGAUGAUUUGUCAUUGUCAAAAGAUAUGAGGCAGAUUUGAUUGUAAACGUUGGUGUACUAAAAUGAUUUUAGAACCUAGACACCGUGUACUGAAACCUAUACUAAUCCAACCCCGCCAUUGUCACAACCCAAGUAUUAUCUCCAUACCACGAUCUUAUGAAUCCUAUUUGGGAAUGUCAACAUGUGUUAAUUAUAGUCUUCCCAUUAGGAUGUAGCUGGAUAAAUGGAACAUGCAAUUCUAACUGGCCUGUUAAACUUAAUGUGGGGCACACCACCAUUCAAGUAGAAACAGACGAGCGCUGUCCACAUCAAUAUGGCUCAGCCACGUUUAAUGAUCAUUAUUGGAUCUGUGGUAAUAAGGCAUAUCUUUAUUUACCAACAAAUUGGACAGGGUGCUGUGUUUUUGGUAAACUAAACAUCUCCAUUGUUGUAAUGCAUAAAACAAACUCCUCCAUUCCACGCAGAUUAAGACGGAUUAGGAGGAGCAUUUCACAAUUGAAUGACGUUCCAAUUGAGUCACGACGAUCCUCAGAACUUGAAGUUUUGGCAUGGGUUAAUUUCUUGAUAUGGGGCAUCGGAAAAUGCCCAUGACUUAGAACGAUUGGGAUAUCAUUUAGAAACUUUUGUAAAUUUAAACCACUUCAGGAUUUUCGAUAAUGAGACCAGAAUUACAAGCAGCUCGCCUCACGGCUAUACAGAAUAGAUUAGCACUUGAUAUGUUACUAGCACAGGAAGGGGGAGUGUGCCAAAUGAUAGGUGAAUAUUGCUGUACAUUCAUACCCCAGGAUGAGGGUAACUUCACUAUUGUUGUGGAACAUCUGGAAGAGCUCACCGGCGAUCUCACAAAAGAACACCAACCAGACAACAAUUGGAAUCCGUUUGGAUGGGUUCAAUCAUUAUUUGGUGUUAUGGAAACAACAGUUUUCCAUUGGCUCAUUUAUGGCCAAUUAAUAUUUUUUGCUGUGCUAUUUCUUAUUGUCUAUGUUAAAAAUCUUUGUUGUAAAGUGCUGGAUACUGCCCUCACUAUGCCAUUGCUUGAUGUUCAUGCUGACUCUGAGGAUGAUGAGAAUAAUGAUGAUGUAUCUAUAAAUGAUCGAAUGCCUGAUAUUCCAGACCUAUUUCCCAUUCCUGAUUACAUACAGUGGGGAGAACAAGUAUUUGAUACACUGCCAAUUUUGCAGGUUUUCCUACUUACAAAGCAUGUAGAGGUCUGUAAUUUUUAUCAUAGGUACACUUCAACAGUGAGAGACAGAAUCUAAAACAAAAAUCCAGAAAAUCACAUUGUAUGAUUUUUAAGUAAUUAAUUUGCAUUUUAUUGCAUGACAUAAGUAUUUGAUACAUCAGAAAAGCAGAACUUAAUAUUUGGUACAGAAACCUUUGUUUGCAAUUACAGAGAUCAUACGUUUCCUGUAGUUCUUGACCAGGUUUGCACACACUGCAGCAGGGAUUUUGGCCCACUCCUCCAUACAGACCUUCUCCAAAUCCUUCAGGUUUUGGGGCUGUCGCUGGGCAAUACGGACUUUCAGCUCCCUCCAAAGAUUUUCCAUUGGGUUCAGGUCUGGAGACUGGCUAGGCCACUCCAGGACCUUGAGAUGCUUCUUACGGAGCCACUCCUGGCUGUGUGUUUCGGGUCGUUGUCAUGCUGGAAGACCCAGCCACGACCCAUCUUCAAUGCUCUUACUGAGGGAAGGAGGUUGUUGGCCAAGAUCUCGCGAUACAUGGCCCCAUCCAUCCUCCCCUCAAUACGGUGCAGUCGUCCUGUCCCCUUUGCAGAAAAGCAUCCCCAAAGAAUGAUGUUUCCACCUCCAUGCUUCACGGAUGGGAUGGUGUUCUUGGGGUUGUACUCAUCCUUCUUCUUCCUCCAAACACGGCGAGUGGAGUUUAGACCAAAAACCUAUUUUUUUGUCUCAUCAGACCACAUGACUUUCUCCCAUUCCUCCUUUGGAUCAUCCAGAUGGUCAUUGGCAAACUUCAGACGGGCCUGGACAUGCGCUGGCUUGAGCAGGGGGACCUUGCGUGCGCUGCAGGAUUUUAAUCCGUGAUGGCGUAGUGUGUUACUAAUGGUUUUCUUUGAGACUGUGGUCCCAGCUCUCUUCAGGUCAUUGAACAGGUCCUGCCGUGUAGUUCUGGGCUGAUCCCUCACCUUCCUCAUGAUCAUUGAUGCCCCCCGAGGUGAGAUCUUGCAUGGAGCCCCAGACUGAGGGUGAUUGACCAUCAUUUUGAACUUCUUCCAUUUUCUAAUAAUUGCGCCAACAGUUGUUGCCUUCUCACCAAGCUGCUUGCCUAUUGUCCUGUAGCCCAUCCCAGCCUUGUGCAGGUCUACAAUUUGAUCCCUGAUGUCCUUACACAGCUCUCUGGUCUUGGCCAUUGUGGAGAGGUUGGAGUCUGUUUGAUUGAGUGUGUGGACAGGUGUCUUUUAUACAGGUAACGAGUUCAAACAGGUGCAGUUAAUACAGGUAAUGAGUGGAGAACAGGAGGGCUUCUUAAAGAAAAACGAACAGGUCUGUGAGAGCCGGAAUUCUUACUGGUUGGUAGGUGAUCAAAUACUUAUGUCAUGCAAUAAAAUGCAAAUUAAUUACUUAAAAAUCAUACAAUGUGAUUUUCUGGAUUUUUGUUUUAGAUUCCGUCUCUCACAGUUGAAGUGUACCUAUGAUAAAAAAAUUACAGACCUCUACAUGCUUUGUAAGUAGGAAAACCUGCAAAAUCGGCAGUGUAUCAAAUACUUGUUCUCCCCACUGUAUCUGAUGAUGAGGACCCUAACCCUGAUCUUAGAGCUAAGGGUAUUGAACUAAUGGUCCACUCAGUUUGUAGGACAUAUCCCAAGAAAGGUAGAUGUUCUUGGUGUUAAAAAUCAAUGAAUGGUAAGGAUGGACAUUUUCAUAAUUCUGACCCCUAUCUUUGUGCGUAGUGCCAGCGUGAUGAUUAUCCUAUUGCUGUAAUGAAACUUUUGUGUGAUUGAAUUUUUGUUUCGUUUUCUGUUCCCGAUUGACUGUUUUUGGAUAAGAAAGGUCUGAAACUCAGCAACCCAAAGGAAGGGUUUUUACAAUGGAUGAAAUGUCAGGCACCAGAAAUAUGUACUUUGUUUAAAAUGUAUAUGUUUACCAAUAAUCAUGUAAUGCUUGUACCCUUACAUUUUUCUGUAAGAAACUUAGUUUCUUGAGAAGGAAAUGUGACAGAAAAAUUGUAUUUACCUAAUUUGUUGGAUAUUUAACAAGUAUUUACUUACCAAACAGUAAAAUAUUUCUGUCCUGCUAAUUCUGUGUUAAAGUGAUGGUUUCCACUUUAACUUCCUAUAGUUACUCUGGGUGUCUGGUUCAGGAAAUGGGUUUUGCUAGAGAUAGCUUGAGCUGACAAUGACUUGGUGAUAAAAACCUAAAAGCUGGCAUUUCAUAGACAAGAUGUGGUGUGUGACCCGAGAUAGAGAGAGCCUGGAAGAGCUUAGAACAAUGCCUCAUCUUCCUGGCAUCUUGGAAACUUAGCCGGAUUGAAAGUAAAACAAGAUCCCGUGCAGAUGAACCAAGUUGGCUUAUGGGAAGGGUAUAAAUGAAUGACUAAGCAUUUUUUAGGGCCUAUGUAAGAUCUCUGCUUUUUCAUUAUCAGUUAACCUGUUUAGGAUAGGGGGCAGUAUUUUCAUGGCCGGAUAAAAAAACGUACCCGAUUUAAUCUGGUUAUUACUCCUGCCCAGAAACUAGAAUAUGCAUAUAAUUAUUUUUAUUUGGAU
rnacentral:lncRNA from 1 species